GGUGGACGGGUUAGUAACGCGUGGGAACGUGCCCAGAUCUACGGAAUAGCCACUGGAAACGGUGAGUAAUACCGUAUACGCCCUUCGGGGGAAAGAUUUAUCGGAUUUGGAUCGGCCCGCGUUAGAUUAGGUAGUUGGUGGGGUAACGGCCUACCAAGCCUACGUUCUAUAGCUGGUUUUAGAGGAUGAUCAGCAACACUGGGACUGAGACACGGCCCAGACUCCUACGGGAGGCAGCAGUGGGGAAUCUUAGACAAUGGGCGCAAGCCUGAUCUAGCCAUGCCGCGUGAGUGAUGAAGGCCUUAGGGUCGUAAAGCUCUUUCGCCUGUGAUGAUAAUGACAGUAGCAGGUAAAGAAACCCCGGCUAACUCCGUGCCAGCAGCCGCGGUAAUACGGAGGGGGUUAGCGUUGUUCGGAAUUACUGGGCGUAAAGCGCAC
rnacentral:rRNA from 1 species